rnacentral:rRNA from 1 species
GAUGAACGCUGGCGGCGUGCCUAAUACAUGCGAGUCGAGCGAACGGACGAGAAGCUUGCUUCCCUGAUGUUAGCGGCGGACGGGUGAGUAACACGUGGAUAACCUACCUAUAAGACUGGGAUAACUUCGGGAAACCGGAGCUAAUACCGGAUAAUAUUUUGAACCGCAUGGUUCAAAAGUGAAAGACGGUCUUGCUGUCACUUAUAGAUGGAUCCGCGCUGCAUUAGCUAGUUGGUAAGGUAACGGCUUACCAAGGCAACGAUGCAUAGCCGACCUGAGAGGGUGAUCGGCCACACUGGAACUGAGACACGGGCCAGACUCCUAAGGGAGGCAGCAGUAGGGAAUCUUCCGCAAUGGGCGAAAGCCUGACGGAGCAACGCCGCGGGAGUGAUGAAGGUCUUCGGAUCGUAAAACUCUGUUAUUAGGGAAGAACAUAUGUGUAAGUAACUGUGCACAUCUUGACGGUACCUAAUCAGAAAGCCACGGCUAACUACGUG